UACGAAGGGGGCUAGCGUUGCUCGGAAUCACUGGGCGUAAAGCGCAUGUAGGCGGACUCUUAAGUCGGUGGUGAAAUCCUGGAGCUCAACUCCAGAACUGCCUUCGAUACUGGGAGUCUCGAGUCCGGGAGAGGUGAGUGGAACUGCGAGUGUAGAGGUGAAAUUCGUAGAUAUUCGCAAGAACACCAGUGGCGAAGGCGGCUCACUGGCCCGGUACUGACGCUGAGGCACGAAAGCGUGGGGAGCAAACAGG
rnacentral:rRNA from 1 species